rnacentral:rRNA from 1 species
GCGGAGGAAAAGAAACUCAACAAGGAUUCCCCUAGUAACGGCGAGUGAAGUGGGAAAAGCUCAACUUUGAAAUCUGGCACCUUCGGUGUCCGAAUUGUAGUCUCUAGAAGUGUUUUCCGUGCUGGCCCAUGUGUGAGUCUGUUGGAACACAGCGUCAUAGAGGGUGACAACCCCGUUCAUAACAUGGACCCCAGUGCUUUGUGAUACACUCUCGACGAGUCGAGUUGUUUGGGAAUGCAGCUCAAAUUGGGUGGUAAAUUCCAUCUAAAGCUAAAUAUUGGCGAGAGACCGAUAGCAAACAAGUACCGUGAGGGAAAGAUGAAAAGCACUUUGGAAAGAGAGUUAACAGUACGUGAAAUUGCUAAAAGGGAAACGAUUGAAGUCAGACGUGCGUGGUGCGGUUCAGCUCUGGUUCGCCAGAGUGUAUUCCGUGCCUUUGCAGGCCAACAUCGGUUUCACGAGGCGGAUAAAGGUUUGAGAAAUGUGGCACCUUCGGGUGUGUUAUAGUCUCUUGCUGAAUACGCCUCGAGGGACCGAGGAACGCAGCGCGCCGCAAGGCAAAGCCUCUGGGCUUUUCGCGCUUAGGAUGUGGGUGAAAUGGCUUU